GUUAAUGUGGCAGAACCCUGAUAUGCAAGAGGUCUAAACCCUCUCUAUGGGGUUCAAAUCCCCUCAUUAACU
rnacentral:tRNA from 1 species